rnacentral:rRNA from 1 species
GACGAACGCUGGCGGCGUGCUUAACACAUGCAAGUCGAACGGAAAGGCCCUGCUUUUGUGGGGUGCUCGAGUUGCGAACGGGUGAGUAACACGUGAGUAACCUGCCCUUGACUUUGGGAUAACUUCAGGCAACUGGGGCUAAUACCGGCUAGGAGCUCCUGCUGCAUGGUGGGGGUUGGAAAGUUUCGGCGGUUGGGGGUGGACUCGCGCCUGAUCAGUUUGAUGGUGGGGUAGUGGCUUACCAAGGCUUUGACGGGUAGCCGGCCGGGGGGGGUGACCGACCAGCUGGGGGCGGAGGGAGGCCCCGGCCACACUCGGAGGCAACAGUGGGGAAUAUUGCACAAUGGGCGGAAGCCUGGUGCAGCACCGCCGCGUGGGGGAUGACGGCCAUCGGGUUGUAUACCGCUUUCGCCUGUGACGAAGCGUGAAUGACGGUAAUGGGUAAAGAAGCACCGGCUAACUACGUG